UUUGACGCCAUCGCGAGCAGGCUCACUCCUACAGGGGAAACGCAUUCCAGAUGUAGGCGUGAGCCUGCUCGCGAUGGCGCCGUA
rnacentral:misc_RNA from 1 species